AUGGAUGCUCUCCCUUUGUCCCGGGCACGCAUGGAUUGGCUGGAGACUGUGGGAAACUCCGAGUCGCUCCGGACCCAGACUUUGGUAAUGCGGCCCCUGCGUAUAAAUAGGGCAGAUCCUGGCUCCCUUCUCCACUCGGAGCUGAAAGCAGCCCUUGGGAUAACGGUGCUCUCUCUCUCUCUGGACAUCCCAUCGCCCGGAGGGAAGGAAGCACAGGCUCCGGGAAGCCCGGCUCGGAUUUACAGCAGCUGGAAUUGCUCCUGGAGAAGGGAUUUCGGAGGCACCAGCCCAACUCCGAGCUGGGGGAAGGCGAAAUCCUGGGGGGAUGGCUGUGAGCGAGCCGGGAUACGGGCGAGCUCUAGCAGCCCGUGCCAAGAGCCCGCGGCAGGAUGAUCCUGGGCGGCAGUGCCCCAGAGCCGCUCUGCAGUUCCCGUCCCUCCGUUCCACGGGCGCAGCAUCGCGGGGGAAGCUGAGCUGCCGCUCCCGGAGGGCACAGGUGCCACCCGGGGACUCUGGUUCUUCCUCCGCACCCACCUCCAGCCACCAGCUUCCAUCAAAACCAGCAGCACCGAAGCGAUUCCAAAGCCUCUGCAGGCACCGGCAGUUCACGAUUCCGUGAUUUUUGGACUUUUCCCGUGUUCCAGAGGAGACCAUGACUUGCUGUACAAGUCGCCCCCACUCCUCUCACGAGUAGGGAAGAAUGUUUCCCCUUUGCAGGUCAUUGCUCUGCAUGGAUGUGAGCUCCCCUUCUCCCAGAGGGACUGCGAGCAUCCCACCGCGUGGAGACCGAGUUGUUCUGAGGGAAUGUGAGCUGUAUCCUCCUGCUGGGAGGGCUGCAGGGGUCGUUCGGGGCGGAACGACGGCUGUUCUUAACCUCUGCGAGGUUGUGCGUGUAGCUCUGCUGGGAAAGCUGUGAGCCCUGGGACGGGCAGAAUUCCCAAAAGUGUCCCUGCGGGAGGAGCCUUUUCCUCUGGCUCCUCGGGCUCCCCACCUGGAAUGCCCCGGGGUCUCACUGGACACAUUUGGGAAUCUGGCCUUCCCACGGUGCCAUGAGAGGUUCUAUAAUAUUUAUAGUCUGUACUGAGCACGCUCUGAGAAUGGUUAAACCAUAUCCCAAACUAUGUAGAGGAAAUUCCUCGGGAUGUCUUGCUCAUGAGCCAGGGCUGUUUGUGAGGUUCAGGAUGCGUGUGUGCCUUUUGUAAAGGCAGGAGCUCGUUUUUUUGUCCUUAUAGGACUGAAAGUUGCAGCCGUGCUGUCGAUUAUAAAAGAAAUAUUUAUUAAAGUCUUUCAUGAAAGGCAGGUGUAUAAAUUAUAUUUACUUUUUGGUACCCUUUUGCCAGGGGAAAAUGGGAAUUUGUUACUGUCCUUGGAGGAUGUUACGAUGUGUUCUGUGCAAGCUGCACCAAUGUAUGACCUGUGCCAGAGUUAUCCUGAACGUCAGAAAUUGCAGAAACUUUUAACGGUCAAAAAUAAAUAAAAAUCUGCUUAAUCAAUCCGAAGUUUUUCUUUUUUAAAGUAGUUUUUACAGCUGGUUUCCCUGUGGUCGAUGGACAUGAGACAGAUUCCAGUGGAAGCAGAGAUGUUCAGAUUUGACACCGAAUUUCCCCAGCAGUUCUGUGUCCAUCGGGACCCCCUGCAAUGCUGUUUUCCACAGCUCGGGAAUAUCCAACCCCAGCUCUCUCAAUGUGAGACAAAAAUAACAGCACGACCCAGCAGCCGAUUCUCUGGGAAUUCGGAGCCAAGAAAGGUCACUGCAAGGGUGAAAAAAAUCAUGGAGUGGUUUGGUUGGGAGGGACCUUAGAUGUAAUCUAAUUCCAACC
rnacentral:lncRNA from 12 species